AGUGAACGCUGGCGGCAGGCCUAACACAUGCAAGUCGAACGGCAGCACGGCAGUAGCAAUACUGUGGGUGGCGAGUGGCGGACGGGUGAGGAAUACAUCGGGAUCUACCCUGUUGUGGGGGAUAACGUAGGGAAACUUACGCUAAUACCGCAUAAGAACUGAGGUUGAAAGCGGCGGACCGCAAGGCGUCGCGCGAUUGGAUGAACCGAUGUCCGAUUAGCUAGUUGGCGGGGUAAAGGCCCACCAAGGCGACGAUCGGUAGCUGGUCUGAGAGGACGACCAGCCACACUGGAACUGAGACACGGCCCAGACUCCUACGGGAGGCAGCAGUGGGGAAUAUUGGACAAUGGGCGAAAGCCUGAUCCAGCAAUGCCGCGUGAGUGAUGAAGGCCUUAGGGUUGUAAAGCUCUUUUACCAGGGAUGAUAAUGACAGUACCUGGAGAUAAGCUCGGCUAACUCCGUG
rnacentral:rRNA from 1 species